CCCCGAAAAUAUAUAAUCAGUAACCCUAGCCAUCACUGUUUCUGCUUUCACUCGCACAUUUCUACUUGUCAAUUGCACCGCCCCACUGUUUCUGGCAGUCCGUUCUUGAACGACAUAGUACAACGACGACCACCGCGCUCACCGCGCUUCUCCCCGUCCUUUGUGGUCCAGGAAAAGAGCAGCUACCUCUCUCUUAGUUGCUUUGCCAAGGCAUCGGAACUUGUUGACGUUGAAGUGUAUUAUUGAGGCACAAUGGGUUUUGAUAUUGAGUGCAUAAUUGACAUUCACACUUAUCCUGGGGAAUACUUUUGUCCAGUUUGUCGAACACUUGUGUACCCGAGUGAAGCAUUUCAGUCACAAUGCACUCAUCUAUAUUGCAAACCUUGCUUGGCACACAUCGCAAAUGGUAGCAGGGCCUGCCCUUAUGAUGGAUACUUGGUGACAGAAUCAGAUUCUAAGCCGCUAAUGGACUCGAAUAAAGCACUGGCAGAAAAUAUUGGCAAAGUUAAGGUGCAUUGUCUCUACUUCCGAAGUGGAUGCUCAUGGGAGGGUACGCUGUCUGAUUGCUCCUCGCAUUGUGCUGGGUGUUCCUUUGGAAAUUCACCUGUUAUAUGCAACAGAUGUGGAAUCCAAAUUGUGCAUCGCCAAGUACAUGAUCAUGCUCAAAGUUGUCCGGGCGUAUUCGACGGACAAAAUGCUUUAGGGGGUGUCACAGCCUCUAGUGGAUCGGGCACAACUUCAUCCACAGCUACUGCAGAGGUCAACCGGUCUGCUGCUCAAUCAGGAGCACCACUUCCUCAGACCCAGAAUCCUCAAAGUGUUGCUGCUACUGUGCACCCUGGGCAAAAUGCCAUUCUUCAAGUGAAUAGCAGCUCUCAGCUUCCAGUUGUUGCUCCUGUUACUGUGCCAACUCCGGAGCAGUGGUAUCAACAACAACAAUAUCUGCAGUAUUAUCAGCAAUAUGUGGGCUAUGAUCCUUACCAACAGGCUAAUCAGCAAUAUUACCCACUUCAGCAACAGCCCAUUCAACAAUAUCAGCAGCAACCAAUGCAAGUUCAGGUUCCGCAACAAUCUCAUGUUUACGCCCAGGCCCUGCCACAACCCCACCCACAGAGCCAACCACAGCUCCAACAGCAUGCCCAGCUCCAGGCGCAAGCGCAGCCGCAGCCGCAGCCACAGUCUAAUCCUGUUCCUCAACCGCCAACACAUCUUCAGGUACAAGUCCAGGGGCAGGCUCAACCACAACCCCAUCCCCAGCCGCAACUGGCACCUCAAGCUCAACCCCAAGCCCAAGUCCUGCCUCAGACUCAGGCCCAUGUACAUGCGCCUGGCCAAGCUUUAGCGCCGAACUAUCAAGUCAAUCCCCAGCAACAAACUCAUCCUUCAAUGCGGCCCCAGACACAGACGCAGGUUCCCCCGCAGGCACCACCACCACCACCUCCCAACAGUCAGUCUACUCAACCCCCACCGUUUGCCCAAGGAGUAGGAGUGCGCCCCCCUGCCCAACAUCCUCAGGUGCCUCAAUUCCCACAACCUCAUGCGCAGAUGCAUCUACCUCAGGCAUCCCAAUCUCACGGGCAUUCUCAAAUGCAUCCCCAGCCCCAGGCCCAAUCCCAACCCCAACCCCAGCCCCAGCCCCAGCCCCAAUCCCAACCCCAACCCCAACCCCAGAAUCAAUCUUCAAACCAAUUGCAUGUGAAAAUUCAUCCACAAGCACAACCUUAUCAUUCCCAUUCCCAACCUCCUGUUUUCCCACCGCAAGCUAGCCAGUCCACAGCUCCUCCUGCCCUGCCGCAGGCACCACAUCCACCAAUCCCCCCUGUUAGCGGGCAUCAUUCCUAUCAACAACCUCAGCAACCCCAGAAAAUGCAUUCAGGAGCAUCACAUCAACAUCCAGUUCAACCACAAGCGGCAAGUGGGUCCUUACAUGCAGUUCAUGUACACGGUCAAGCCCCACAACAAUCUGGAGUUAUGCGACCGCCCCAUUCUCACGGUUCAAUUCCUCAGCAACAGGCAUCAACGCUAUUGCCACAACAAAAUCAGGUCCCUGGUGUUCCUGCCGCACAGCAUCAGCAGUUUCCACCUCAUGUGCAACCACCAUCUCAUCCACAUCCACAUUCACAUCCACAUCGUCCUGUCAUGCAGCCAGUUCAACAAUCUGUGCCUCAGCAAUAUGCUCAGCAACAAAAUUUUCUUGUUCCCUUUCAAGGUCAAUGGCAUCAGCAAGGUCAUUUCCCACAGCAACAACCUAUGCAACCCCAACUUCGCUCUUCGGGGCCCCCUCCACCCCAGCAGCCUCAAAAUUAUGUUGGGAGACCAAUGAUGAUGAACCAGGGGAUGCAUCCACAAAACCAUCCUUUGUCUACUGGUGUUUUCCCUCCUCAUCCUGGACCUGUGCAACUCACAUCAACUCAGGCAGCUUUAAAUCAAAAUUAUGCCAUGUCUACCGUGAUGGAGCAGAAUGCAAAUGGCCAAGAAACUGGGUCACCUCCAAAGGAACUAGUUGAAAAGGGUUUUGAAGGGGAUCCCCCGAAAGAGGAGAUCGUCAAAGGACAAAGUAGAAUAGUUACCAAGGAUGCUGAUAAUUGUGAGGGGGGUGAUUUAAUUAAUUCUGUCGUCAAGCAAGAAGACAAUGUGCGGGGUUCUUUGGACCGAGCAUCUGGGGGAAAAUCUUUUGAAGCUGGAGCUGCAGAACAUGAAUUCUGUAAACAAGAGGGUCAUCCACUGACAAAUUCUGAUUCAUUGAAACCAGUGGAGCCGGAGAAUGAGAAAAUGAUUGUAUCAAAUACAGUGGUUUCAGGUCCAUCCUUGGCAAAUUUUGAGAAGCAAUCUCAAACUGCCUCUGCUACUGCUACAGAAGGGCAUGUACUACCACCAAAAUCUCAUGGUUCUCAUCAGCAAGGGCCUCAAGAACGAGUGCAGGGACCGCCUCCAUCGUUACUAGGAGCUCAAGGACCUGUCAGUUUGCCUCAUCCUGGGAAAUGUCUCAACUCAAAUGAAGGAAGGGGCACUGGUUAUGUUGGCCCUCCUCCAAAAAGCUUUGAUUCUCAAUCUACUACUCAAGGACCGGGACCGAGUACUCUAGCUGAUUCACGUGGGAUAACGGGACGUGCUCCACCAGCCCGCUUUGAGGUUCAGUUUGGUACCCAGCAUGUUGAUAGGACGAAUGAAGUUUCCAUGCCAAAAGAUCAGAUGCCAGGCUCCUUGCACCUGUCAGGCCCUGUUGGGGACGACCCUCUCAUGAUAACUCGUGGAGAAGAGCCAAGUAUUUUGAGGAUGAAUGGGGGAACAGCUCUUGACUCCUCCAUGAUCGGCUCUAGGGAUGAAAAAUUGAAGUCCUUUUCUAGGGAGCAUUUGGAUCCGUUUCCUGGAGAGCGAACUCGCCCUCUUGACCAAGCUCCGAUUUAUCUUGAUAAAGGGCCUCAUGGGCAAGGUUAUGAUGGUGGGUCAAAGUUGGAUCCUGGUGCGUCAGCUUCAUAUUCAAGGUUCAUACCUUCACAUCAUCCAUCCGGCCCUGGUCGGCUGGACAUGCAUGGACCAGCCCAUGAAUUUGACCAGCAUCACAUGAAGCAUUUUGCUCGCCGAAGUCCCAACAGGGAGUAUGUUGGCUCUUCUCCACAUGGAUUUGGUGGCCCAUCCAGUUAUGCUCGUGUAACAUCAGCUUUCGAUGAUGUUAAUUCCAGGAGUGUGCAUAGAUAUGGUGAAGGAUCAAGGUCUUACAGUCUUUCUUCUGAUCCAGUUGGGAAUCCUUUUCGUGAUGGCAGGUUCCCCCCCAUGUCUCGUCAUCCAAGAAGAGAUGACAUUGUUGGCCCUCGAUAUCCUAGAUUUGGUGGGCAUAUGUCUCCUGGCCAGAUCCAGAACCCUAUUGGGAGUGAUGAUGUUUUUGGACCAGAAGGGGCUGGCCAUUUUGUUGGUGGGAAGUUUUUGGAUCCAGCAUAUUUGCCUGGUCAUUUUGAUAUGGCUGAUUCAGCAUCUGGUGCCUUCCCUGGUCAUGGUCGUCCUGGGGAAGUGGGUGGUCCUGGGAACUUCCCUCUUCCUUUUACUGAACCUGUUAGAGGCGAUAGACAGAGUUUCCCGCAUUUCGGGGAGCCUGCAAUGAGGACCAGCUAUUCAGUCCCUGGUUUCCCUGGUGCUGGAAAUUUUGCUGGUGGUAUGGAUUCCUUCAAUCAAUCUAGGAAGAGGAAGCCUGUAAGCACUGGAUGGUGCCGGAUUUGUGAGUUCGACUGUGAAACGGUUGAAGGUCUUGAUAUGCACUCACAAACCAGGGAGCACCAAAAGAUGGCCAUGGAUAUGGUCAAAACUAUCAAGCUGCAGAACAACAAGAAGCAGAGAAAUGCUGCUGGCCAUAUGGUGCAUGAAGGGGGGAGCAGAAGUAGGAAAGCGGGUAUUGUUGGCCGUGGAGGCAAGCCUUGACUGGUAGAUGUGAUUAUUGGGAAUCGAUUUCAGGUGGCUGCCCUGUUUCUGAAGAUGUUUUUGGGAUGAAGUAUUGUUGGCAGUUAGAUCAUUUCAAUUCAACCUGUCUUUCUUCGGGAAGCAGAAGAGAAAAAAAGGCUGAAUUAAGGAUGGUUGCUCGCUUUCCAACAGGGUAAGGAUAUGGUUGGUGCACCGAGUUUGUUUGAUAGCAUUUUUGUCUUGAUAUAUUGUGCUUAUUAUAUACCUUAAUCUUCUGUUACCUUACUCAUCUCUUAAUCCCUCAGGUUCUGGGUAGUUUCCUGUAGUGGUCUUUAAAUACAGUCCCUACUUUUUAGUUGCAUCUUCUAUUUCUAUUUUCUGUAAAUCUGAAACCUCGUGAACAGAUGUUUGUCUACAGAAAAUGAACUUUUGAACUGAGAUCAAGCUGAGCAAAGUGGAAAUCUAGGGAUUAGAGAGAACCCAUCAGAUUCAACUUGCAGAAUGUAGUGUCAUCUCUUAGGUUACAAACAAUUUUAUCUCUGAAAAACUAAAGAGAAUUGGUUAUUGGUAAUUCAAGAUUGAAUUGUUCAACUAAGUUCUAUGAAAUGGAGAAACUUUGUCCAACAGAAAUACAUGGAUGGAUAACAAGGAGAACAAUAAUUGAAACCCAUUUGACUUUGGUCAUCAAUUUGGAAUUUUUUUUAGGAAAUUAUUAUUUUCUUCAAUUGAUAUUAUACGGCCCAACCAUUAUUAGAGCUUUGACUUGAGCACUUGGUUUAAUUGUAUUUCUGGCCAUUCAACAAGGCUGACAACUAGCCUUCCUAUCACUAUUCGAGUCUUAUGCUUUGGCCCUUCAAUUGUUUGAACAUGAAAUUCUCAUGCAUUUUGCUUUUUAUGAACUGGGGGGUUGAAACACUUCUUUGAAUGUGCCGUCGGUUAUACAGUGGAAGGUUCGAUUCUUGUAAUGUGGCUGUAACAAUGAUUCUUGUGGCUGCCUUUUGAUUACUGCUGCCUUCAAUAAACUGGAAUCAGUCACCACUAAAUGUGGAUCAUCUGUAACACAUUCAGUCUGGAUAUUUAUCUUUGACCCUUUAUUUAGUAUUUAUACAACCUAGGGAACCUAUGUCUUGUAUGGCCUGGGUGCCUACAUCCUAUAUGUUUUUUGCUUUUCCAUUAAGCUAGUGUUCACUUUAGAGGUUUUACGGCAAAGUUUUUAUGUCAGAAAAAUGUGGAAAUGCUUUUUGUUUCUGCCCAUCCCUGCUUCAAUGGUUUUCCACAUUCAUAUCGAUAGUGUCUGAUUUACAAGAGAAGGUUUCACUUUUGUGUUAUUUCAACGAGGUAAGGAUAUGAUUUCAGAAUGAUCUUUGACAUUCAGAAUCCAGAGAGAUCGCAAACUUAUUCUAGGCUCUUAUUAAUGAAGUGUUUUUGCUCCAAGCAGUUAAUGGAGUUCUCGCGAGUUAAAUUUAGAUGGGCAUGGACUACAGAGAAAUUACAUGCAUCUUAUUGUGUAAUUUUUCAAUUCAUGGGGAGUUUGUGUCAAUCUUUUUUUAGGCGUAACUACAGUCCCGUCUCCCGAGGUUUGUGUAAUUUUUUAAACCACAAGGGUUCAGGGGUUCUACGUGUAAUUACACCAAACCUCAGGGGAGGAAGGGAGGGGACUGUAGUUAUCCCUUUUUCUAUGAUUUAGUUAGAUGAAUUGAUAACAUAAAUAAAUUAGUAAGAAUUAAGAAGAAAAGGAAAAAUCUGAAACAUGUGGCCUUUUCGCCUUAAGUUAAGUCCUAAGGUUAAUUUUGGAAAUUACCGGGGUUCUUGGAUUGUUGGUACAAACUCGCUACAUCACUGGAAACUUAUUCUUUCAGUUAACUGCUGUGUUAUAUCUGACAUUGAUAGGAUUUCUGCUGUUGGAUCUUUUUUAUUUUGGGUGGGGUGGGGUGAUUAGUUUUCUAUUCUACUUUAGAUUGACUUUUUGUUAAUCUUUGGGGCUCAACUCUCACUUUAUUUGGAUUAACUUUGACACCAUGAAUGGAUGACUUUGUCUAGGAGGUCUUACGUUGGGAAAUUAAUAAGUUGUGUUGUAAUUUAGCUUCAGGUGGAUCAAUUUCAUCGCUAGAGAAUGAGGAUGUCCACACAGUAUGAUAGGUGAAUGGUAAUUAAAGAUCCGAUUGUUUUGUUUGUGGGUGUCGUGUGGAGUUUACAAUUUUUUAAAUUACAAUCUCAAUGGGUUCUCGCAAUCGUGUUCUAUUGUACUUGCAACCUUCCUUGACAUUUUGUAUGUUUAUGCUUUCAAUAUUGUGAAACAGUGUGCUAUCACUAUUCUAAGAAUUUAGCCAUGUGCAGGGUCUAUAAUCCAGAAAAACUUUAUAGAGGAUAUGCCUAGUUACCAAAAAUAUUUUGACAGCAUUUUUUUGGGUAGAAAAGAUGUCGGACGCCUUUUUGUUUAGGCGAUAAUCAACCAUGAGGGAAUGAAUGUGGAUCCUUGUCUCUCAGUGCAUGGAUCCUUCAUAAUUUUAUAUUAGGUCCAUUUACAGACCUGAAACUUACUAAGGGGAAUUUGCUAAGUUUAGCUAAAACAUACAAAUAGCUUAGCGAGCAUUUAAGCCACGACAGCCUUUCAGAAACAUAGGAAAUUCAUUACAUUGACAUAGAGGACACCCAAUGGGCUCAAUGGCAUGGUAAGAGUCCCGCCAAAUGCAAGAGGUGCCGGAAAUUCAUAAGGAAAUUAGAUGAAUAUUAUUUAGGAUGGUUAUUGUCACCAAUCAAAGAAGUAUCAUCUUCAAAAUGAAAGUAUGGCGUUGGAUGGAUAAACAUUGAUUCGCGAUGAUUGGAAGAAUGUUUAUAUUUAAUGCUCUAAUGUUCUGUCAAGUGGUUCGUUUUGUUUGGAAUGGGCUUUGUAGGACUACUUUGCAGAGUCAUUUCAUUGUUGAACUUUUGGAGUCGCAGUUGGCAGACAAACCAUUAUGGCUGUGGACUUGAUAGGGCUGUGUCCCUGGUUUUGAUGAAUAGGGUUUUUGUUAAUCUUGUUGUGCUUAUGUGAUAAAGCUGUAUUUAUUUUAUUAUUCGGGUGCCUGGAGUUGUAAAAUUGAAGCUAACUUUUAUAUCAUUAAACGUACUUAUUGGCUACUGUA